rnacentral:rRNA from 1 species
AUGAGACGACUCUUUCUUGAACAAUUUCAUAAGCAGAUCUUCCCCUCCACACCAAUCACGAGUUCGAUUCGGAUCCCUCUGUUGUUUCCCUUUCCUCCCGAACCUUUUCCUCGAAAUGAUAAAGAAUCUGGUACACUCGAAUUGUAUUAUUUAAGUGCUUAUUGCUUGCCAAAAAUCCUACUUCUACAAUUGGUAGGUCACCGGGUUAUUCAAAUAAGUCGUGUUUUCUGUGCUUUUCCCAUGUUACAACUUCCGUACCAAUUCGAUCGAUCCGGAAUGGAUCGGUUA